rnacentral:rRNA from 1 species
CGCAAUGGGCGAAAGUCUGACGGAGCGACGCCGCGUGCAUGAUGAAGACCCUCUGUAUCUUAAAAAUUUUUUCCGAGGUAAAAAGUUUUUUGAAGACCUCAAGAAUAAGGGGUUGCUAAACUCGUGCCAGCAGCAGCGGUAAUACGAGUGCCCCGAGCGUUAUCCGGAAUCAUUGGGCGUAAAGGGUGCGUAGGCGGUCAUGUUAGUCCCUUGUCAAAACUCCCGGCUCAACCUGGGAUUCGCAAAGGAAACGGCAUCGCUAGAGGAUGCGAGGGGUGUAUGGAACUCAUGGGGUAGCGGUGAAAUCCGUUGAUAUCAUGGGGAACACCAAAAGCGAAGGCAGUUCACUGGGGCAUUCCUGACACUGAAACACGAAAGCGU